GGCUCAGGAUGAACGCUAGCUACAGGCUUAACACAUGCAAGUCGAGGGGCAGCAUGGUCUUAGCUUGCUAAGGCCGAUGGCGACCGGCGCACGGGUGAGUAACACGUAUCCAACCUGCCGUCUACUCUUGGACAGCCUUCUGAAAGGAAGAUUAAUACAAGAUGGCAUCAUGAGUCCGCAUGUUCACAUGAUUAAAGGUAUUCCGGUAGACGAUGGGGAUGCGUUCCAUUACAUAGUAGGCGGGGUAACGGCCCACCUAGUCUUCGAUGGAUAGGGGUUCUGAGAGGAAGGUCCCCCACAUUGGAACUGAGACACGGUCCAAACUCCUACGGGAGGCAGCAGUGAGGAAUAUUGGUCAAUGGGCGAGAGCCUGAACCAGCCAAGUAGCGUGAAGGAUGACUGCCCUAUGGGUUGUAAACUUCUUUUAUAAAGGAAUAAAGUCGGGUAUGGAUACCCGUUUGCAUGUACUUUAUGAAUAAGGAUCGGCUAACUCCGUGCCAGCAGCCGCGGUAAUACGGAGGAUCCGAGCGUUAUCCGGAUUUAUUGGGUUUAAAGGGAGCGUACAUGGAUGUUUAAGUCACUUGUGAAAGUUUGCGGCUCAACCGUAAAAUUGCAGUUGAUACUGGAUAUCUUGAGUGCAGGUGAGGCAGGCGGAAUUCGUGGUGUAGCGGUGAAAUGCUUAGAUAUCACGAAGAACUCCGAUUGCGAAGGCAGCCUGCUAAGCUGCAACUGACAUUGAGGCUCGAAAGUGUGGGUAUCAAACAGGAUUAGAUACCCUGGUAGUCCACACGGUAAACGAUGAAUACUCGCUGUUUGCGAUAUACUGCAAGCGGCCAAGCGAAAGCGUUAAGUAUUCCACCUGGGGAGUACGCCGGCAACGGUGAAACUCAAAGGAAUUGACGGGGGCCCGCACAAGCGGAGGAACAUGUGGUUUAAUUCGAUGAUACGCGAGGAACCUUACCCGGGCUUAAAUUGCAGAUGAAUUACGGUGAAAGCCGUAAGCCGCAAGGCAUCUGUGAAGGUGCUGCAUGGUUGUCGUCAGCUCGUGCCGUGAGGUGUCGGCUUAAGUGCCAUAACGAGCGCAACCCUUGCUGUCAGUUACUAACAGGUUCCGCUGAGGACUCUGACAAGACUGCCAUCGUAAGAUGUGAGGAAGGUGGGGAUGACGUCAAAUCAGCACGGCCCUUACGUCCGGGGCUACACACGUGUUACAAUGGGGGGUACAGAGGGCCGCUACCACGCGAGUGGAUGCCAAUCCCCAAAACCUCUCUCAGUUCGGACUGGAGUCUGCAACCCGACUCCACGAAGCUGGAUUCGCUAGUAAUCGCGCAUCAGCCACGGCGCGGUGAAUACGUUCCCGGGCCUUGUACACACCGCCCGUCAAGCCAUGGGAGCCGGGGGUACCUGAAGUGCGUAACCGCGAGGAGCGCCCUAGGGUA
rnacentral:rRNA from 1 species